AAUCAACGCUGGCGGCGUGCCUAACACAUGCAAGUCGAACGAGAAAGUGGGGGCAACCCUGCGAGUAAAGUGGCAGACGGGUGAGUAACACGUGAACAACCUACCCUCGAGUGGGGAAUAACACCGCGAAAGCGGUGCUAAUACCGCAUAACAUCCAUAAAUCACAUGAUGAAUGGAUCAAAAGCGCAAGUUGCUUGAGGAGGGGUUCGCGGCUGAUUAGCUAGUUGGUGAGGUAACGGCCCACCAAGGCAACGAUCAGUAGCCGGCCUGAGAGGGCGAACGGCCACACUGGAACUGAGACACGGUCCAGACUCCUACGGGUGGCUG
rnacentral:rRNA from 1 species